AGCGAAUGCUUUGGGGUGGGGUGACUGCGUACCUUUUGUAUAAUGGGUCAGCGACUUAUAUUCUGUAGCAAGGUUAACCGAAUAGGGGAGCCGGAGGGAAACCGAGUCUUAAUUGGGCGUUAAGUUGCAGGGUAUAGACCCGAAACCCGGUGAUCUAGCCAUGGGCAGGUUGAAGGUUGGGUAACACUAACUGGAGGACCGAACCGACUAAUGUUGAAAAAUUAGCGGAUGACCUGUGGCUGGGGGUGAAAGGCCAAUCAAACCGGGAGAUAGCUGGUUCUCCCCGAAAGCUAUUUAGGUAGCGCCUCGUGAAUUCAUCUCCGGGGGUAGAGCACUGUUUCGGCUAGGGGGCCAUCCCGGCUUACCAACCCGAUGCAAACUGCGAAUACCGGAGAAUGUUAUCACGGGAGACACACGGCGGGUGCUAACGUCCGUCGUGAAGAGGGAAACAACCCAGACCGCCAGCUAAGGUCCCAAAGUCAUGGUUAAGUGGGAAACGAUGUGGGAAGGCCCAGACAGCCAGGAUGUUGGCUUAGAAGCAGCCAUCAUUUAAAGAAAGCGUAAUAGCUCACUGGUCGAGUCGGCCUGCGCGGAAGAUGUAACGGGGCUAAACCAUGCACCGAAGCUGCGGCAGCGACACUGUGUGUUGUUGGGUA
rnacentral:rRNA from 2 species